CAAGGCGCUAGGUCAUCGUACAGUGUUUGUGUUACAGACCCUGACUUUGACAAUACUGUUUUAAAAUGGUUUCAAGGCAGUUUAUGAAGUCAUGUUAUAUCAGAUGGUAACGACAUAACUGAACGCGAAUGUAAUUCAGAAUCUGAACAGUGUGAAAGUGAAAACGACUUUUUUUGCCUUUGCAUCUUUAGCUACAGCUUCGUCUAGCAAUGUAACUGGUCGAAACAAAUAUCGUCGAAACCUUCUCUCAAGCAUUUUCAAGUGGCGGCAGCAUAUAGUGCGUUUAAAAUUAGUUGCGACUUUUGACGUUUGGCUGACCGGAGAGGGACGUGACGCCGUUAACCAGUCAACACCAUGACUAAACAGCACGAAUGAGAUGCAUCAAUGUUCGUCAGCUGUCGUUGUAACGUCGUAUUUUAUGAAACUGCUGAAGUGUUGUGUAGUCGUCAAGGUAUUGUGAACAAGUGUUUGGUGUUGGUGUUGCAUUAACAACAGCAGUGCAGUACAUCUGAAUAAGAGAUUUUCAAUAAAAAUGUUCGCGAACACGUUCAUGGGUUGGGAAGAUAACGUUGUGCUGCAAAACACUCCUCGGAAUUCGACAGUAGUAAUAGACAAAACGCAUUACCACUCUAUUAAUGCACAAAGCUUCAACAACGCAGUGAAGAAAAGCGGAUAUUUUGCGGGUACAAAGAAAUGUUCCGUGAGAUAAAUGUGAACCUAGCAUGUAUAAGGCGAAGAUAUGGAACUUAUAGUGCACAAGCCAAAACUUCGCGCUAUCGGAUCGACGAACUGGCUAACGGAAAAGGGAAUAGUUCAAUCAGGCUUCCUACAUAUCAUGCUCAUUUAUUCCGACAGAGUUUAUGGACGUAGAUGAAAAGUCCCGUGGUAAAAACAAGAAGUUUACACUCAGUGAGGUUCAAACGCUGACCAAAGAAGCCACUGAAAAUGUUGCACGACAGGACUGGUCUUGAUUUGUCAGCCUUACCAAGAAGGUACUCCAAAAGACAUUGGUUCACGAAGGACUGUUUCAAGUUUUGACGAAUACGUAACUUCUAUUAUUGCCUGUCAAAACACAGCAGAGUUCAGAAAUGUUCAUCUCAUUACCAUUCUAAUGCAGUUGAAAUUUCAACAGAAUCCUGAAAUAGUGCCUUAUUAAACUAACAAGUGAGUGCUAGUCAUGUCAAUAUGUUAUGAAACAGUCCAUUCUUAGUAUAAAAAUAAACUAGUAAUUUCUUCACUUAUAUUAUCACAAAAUCCACAGCAGUUCUCGUUUCACCAGCUAUCGAUGGCUCUAAUUAAUUAAAUUAUUUCAUUGAAAAAACUCUAGUCGUCUGAAUAUCUCGAUAGAUACAGAAGUUUCGCAUAUUAAUCUCACGGCUAAACACACACAUCUUUGCGCGCUGUCAUUUGCCAAAAUUUUGUUUGGAUAUCUCAAACCAUUUGAGAUACGAGUAAUAUGUGAAAAUUUUAUUAUAGUUUUUUCACUGACGCACGAGUUUGUCAGGGAGUGCUUUAAAUACAUGGAAUUUUCUCGAAAUUGGGAACAGACGGCGGUGUUCUUAAAAAUUUAAAGAAUAAUUCAAUCUAUCAUCUACAUUUAAUACGCAGUAACAUGUAACCUAUCACGCACCAAACACAAAUUCAUAGCGAUACCUAUUUUUCUCUGCAAACUAAGAAUUUCUUACAGUAGUUUACGUACUAUCGAAAUUUCACAAUAACUCUGAUCACUAACGAAAUGAUAGCCGGUUCAUCAUAAAACUGGCGAAUUAAACUAUAAGAUUUUUGCGAGAAUUAGAGCUUAUUACCGAAUAGUUUCUUUAAAAACGUUCGAGAAAAAAAAAUCGCAGAUCUGCCAGCUUGCGCCGCUUUCUGUUCACGCUGUCAAGCGCGCCUGACAGGUUCCGCGCCUAUAAGGUGGUGUUAUACUGUCACAUGACGCGUUCAGCACACGCUGGCAACCAUGCUUUCCUCCACUUGCUCCGUACAGAACUGUCAAAAGUCCCAACUUAUUUUAUAUGCACUAUAACAGCAUUCCUUCACCAACAUUGCAGCCACCAGCUCCAUGCUUUGGGUGUAGCGGAACCGAGAGCAGAAGUCGUUGCAGACCGAUCGGAAAAACGCUAUACAUGCUGCACCAGUGACCCAGAGAAGAGGAGGAAGACGCCUUGUUUACCAAUGUUACAAUAAACCAAUCUGCCAUGGGAGUUGGCAGCCGCGGCGCAAAUCGCACACCCUAGAAUAUUUGAUUUAUUAUUGGUCCUGUAGAUCAUACAGUUUGUACAGCAAAGCACAUCAUGAUAUAGGACAAGUCAAUUUGAAAAAUUAUGUUGACAAGGUAUAUGAAGAGAGAUGACAGUAGUGGCGCAUAACUCCCAUAGCAGAAUACAUAUAGGAUAUAUAGACAAAGUAUAAAAAAUGUGGUGUGUGAUGAGAGAUGACAGUGGUGCAUACUGCACAUAGCAGAAUACAUAUAAGAGAUACAGACAAAAUAUGAGUAACAAACAAUAAUUAAAUUAUCUUACUACAUAGAAAUAUCUACAACUGAAUAUACAGCUUAUUACAAGUAAUUAAAAUAUUGUGGUACAUAGUUCACAUAGCAGAAUACAUAUAUGAGAUACAGACAGAAUAUAGAUAAGAUACAAUAAUUUAAUUAUCUUACUAAGUAGAAACAUCUACAACUGAAUAAACAGCUUAUUGCAAGUAAUUAAAAUUUUGUUUCAAGAAA